GUCUGAACUGUAUACAGUGCGGGGUUGGGGGGUGUUUGGUACUCCAGGAGUCAGGAAUGUGAGUCAGAUUGCAUCCGGAGCCAAGAUCCUGAGCACUUGCAUAUUUUCUCUUAAUUUAUACAUUAGAUUCACAGG